GCGCACAGAGGCGAUGAAGGACGUGGCACGCUGCGAUAAGCUGCGGGGAGGGGCGAGCACCCGUUGAUCCGUGGAUUUCCGAAUGGGGAAACCCGGCCCUUUAGGGUCAUCCCUUGCUGAAUUCAUAGGCAGGGGAAGCGAACCCGGUGAACUGAAACAUCUCAGUAACCGGAGGAAAGGACAUCAACCGAGACUCUGCUAGUAGCGGCGAGCGAACGCGGACCAGGCCAGUGGCUUAUGCAUAAGAACCGGAAUGAUCUGGAAAGGUCAGCCAAAGUGGGUGAUAGCCCCGUACGGGUAGAAAUUGCAUAAGUCCUCGAGUAGGGCGGGACACGUGAAAUCCUGUCUGAACAUGGGGGGACCACCCUCCAAGCCUAAGUACUCCUGUGCGACCGAUAGUGAACCAGUACCGUG
rnacentral:rRNA from 1 species